rnacentral:rRNA from 1 species
AACAAACGCUGGCGGCGUGCCUAAUACAUGCAAGUCGAACGGGGAAAGUAGCAAUAUGAGUACUAGUGGCGCACGGGUGAGUAACGCGUGGAUAAUCUGCCUUGAAGAGGGGGAUAACUAGUCGAAAGAUUAGCUAAUACCGCAUAAGACCACAAGAACUGAGGUUCAAGGGGUCAAAGGUUUUUCGCUUCAAGAUGAGUCCGCGUAAGAUUAGCUAGUUGGUGAGGUAAUGGCUCACCAAGGCAACGAUCUUUAACUGGUCUGAGAGGAUGAUCAGUCACACUGGAACUGAGACACGGUCCAGACUCCUACGGGAGGCAGCAGUAGGGAAUAUUGCACAAUGGAGGAAACUCUGAUGCAGCGACGCCGCGUGAGUGAUGAAGGCCUUCGGGUCGUAAAGCUCUGUCGCAGGGGAAUAACAAAAUGAAUGUACCCUGUAAGAAAGGAUCGGCUAACUUCGUG